AGAAAAACGUUAUACUAUUGAAGAAUUGAUAAUAAUACCUCCGAUUAAUAUAGUAGACACUAACCGGUAUACUUCUGACGACUGCCUACCACGAUUAUACCUCCAAUUAUAUCUAUAUAAACACGAAAUCAAUUUUUUUUUAAACCCUUAUAAACGCGAUUGAAUAAAUAAUAAGGUACGACUUGCCCAUCAAAAUACAUACGAUAGACCGCCUGUAUGUCCAUCGUGUUACGUUU